UGGAGAUAUAUGGGGGUUCACUCUUUCUUCCUAUUAACAAUAUUAGGGAUGAUUCUGCAUUAUAUGGGGGUUCACUCUUCUUAUUAUGUAAACGAGUGUUUAAUACUUAGCUAGGACUACCAAUCUGAGUUAUCAAAAUCAAAGCCAUCACAAGGGAAAAGCUAGAUGAUGGAAAAUCAUGACAGGUGAGUCAGUUAUUGUUUCAAAAUCAGCAAGCUCUUCACUCCACAACUCCAGCUUUUGCCUGCACCACAAAGAAGUACACUACGUCUGCCAUAAUUCAAGGGAAACAGAGCUAGCUAUACCAAACUGAUUCAGGAAAAUAGAGCUCUCAAAAGGCAAAAGCUAGAUGAUGCAAAAUCAAGACAGUUUUAUCCUCCAACCAAGCAUUGUUGAUGAGUAAUAUCUGGUAAGUACUGGUUUUCGUGUCUUUGUUGAUGAUCAGAAGAGGACGUUGUUUUCAUGGCAUUUCUUCAAAGAUUCUGUGAAACAGCUCUCUACAAAAAUAACUUAUCAGCGGGGAGAAGAAGCUCAAUCGUUGACCCCAAGACUCUGUGCUAUUCGAGUAAGUCAGGCAAGUUGUUCCAUUACUCACAAUCACAAAAGGGUUAGGGUUAAUAACUUAGCUAGCACUUCCAGUCUCUUUUAUAAAAUCAUCAAAGCCAUCACAAGGCGACGAAAGAGAGAGAUAGACCCAAAACAAGUCAGAGGACGGUGAUCAGUGGUUUGAUUGAGCUGUCAUGGUGCGUCUCUGGAGGUCUAGCACUUUGAGCCCAAUUGAUCUCUUUAUCUAUCCUCGUCUUCUUAGCUUCUAUCAUGUUGUUAGUCGAAGCUUUAAAAUGCCAAUGAUAAGAGACUGCUUCUGCCCCGAGCUUCCUGCUAGUUCCAAUUCUUACAUGACAAGUGAUCCUGGUGUUGUGAACUACUUCAAUUUUUUGGUAGAGUGAUGAAGCCCAAUCGUCAAGUCAGGCGAGUCAGACUCAUUCUCACAAUAACUCAAUACAUUCGUUUCAAUUUCACAUCCAUAUGAGAGACUGAAAACUUUAUCUAUCUCCCUCAACCAAUGAUCCCUUUUGUUUCUUUUUUUUUUUUUUUUUGAACAACAAUGUACUACACAAGUGGAAUCUCGGCGACAAGGCACCAGAAUUCAGAGCAAAACCCUUGAUUUUACUGAGCUAAAUGGAGUCCAGAAGCAGGUUUGCUUAAAAAGCUUGAAGCUAAGUAUAAGAUUGGAGAUUUGCUAUGGGUUUGAAGAAUGAAUAAGAUUCAGAACCAAAAAGAUAAAACAUCAAACUGAUUCUUGUAGUUAUAGGUGUCUUUGACUCAAUACAUCUUCCGUUCUCGUCCAUUUCGCUUUCCCAAUCUUUGAAUACUCGAAGAGCAGGACCUCUUAAGAGAGCUAAAUGGUGUCAUGAAGCAGGUUUUCAUAAAGUGGAUGUGUUUGAAAAGCUUGAAGCUAAGCGUAAGGCUGAAGGAAAGGAAGAGAAAGAAAGAGAAGAUGAUGAAGAAGUUGAUGAAUCAGGGGAGAAGAAUCUGACUACGAAGAUUAUUAUUAGGUGUGUGUACGUGUUUUCCAACCAAGACGAUGAUUUGAAGGAUGAAGAAGGUUCAUAGUAAAGCAAUGAGAUAAUGCUCUUUUCAGAGCUGUUGGAUGGUUCGUGCGGCUCUUGAAGUGUUUGUCAAUUUUAAGACAGAUAACAGUGUUACCAAAAGUGACGAGAGAGUAAACAGGCCUGAACAAGUCAGAGGUUGAUCACAUUGCUUGUGUUGUUUUUGAUUUUGGGAAGUAAAGGUGCGGUAAACUUCGUUCAGUUGACAAGGCUACUACUAUCUUGGAGGUAGAUUCUUGAUAACUGCCGGAGGUUCUCCCAAUUGCCUAAAAUGUGCCUCAGCUAGCUGGAUCUUUGGAAGGUCUUUGUGUUCUUGUUCCAGCCAGGACGGACGAUGCUUUCUUGACUCAGAACACAAAAACGGUCGCCGGCGUGUUCUUACAAUACUAACAUCAUCAAACUGAUCGAAUUGAAAGAUCGGAGAUAUGCUAUGGUUUGAAGAAUGAAGAAAGAUUCUGAACCAAACAAAAACAAAACCUUCGCCUUGCGGAUCGUUCUCUUCUCUACUCUCAGGAUCGUUAUAUAUCUUAUCACCUUCUCUUCUCUACUCUCAGGAUCCAAGCAUUCUUGAUGAAUAAUAUCUGGUGGAAGUUUAUUUUUUUGUGUCUUUGAGAGUGAUGGAUGUUCAGAGGACAUGGCGUUGCUUCUUUGACGAGAAACUCCACAACAAUAAAAAAGAUUCUGUGAAACAUCUCUCCACAUAAAACAACUCAUCACCGGAGGAGAGAAGAAGCUCAGUCGUCGACGCAAAGAUCCAUUGCUUUUACAUUACUCAACAAAAUCACUCAGUACAUGCGAUUCAGUAGUUCCCCAUCCAUAAGUGAGACUGAGACUUUUUUAGUUUUGUUGUUUGCUGCUUCUCUAGAUGAUGGAGAUAUAUGGGGGUUCACUCUUCUGUAAGUCAUCUCAAAAUUCUCUGCUUUUCGACAAGGCACCAGAACUGACUCAAGCCAAAGGCAGUAAUCAGAAAAUUGCAUAAAGGUAAACGAGUGUACUUAGCUAGCACUACCAAUCUGAGUUAUCAAAAUCAAAGCCAUCACAAGGGAGAAGCUAGAUGAUGGAAAAUCAUGACAGGUGAGUCAGUUAUUGUUUCAAAAUCAGCAAGCUCUUCACUCCACAACUCCAGCUUUUGCCUGCACCACAAAGAAGUACACCACGUCUGCCAUAAUUCAAGUGAAACAUAGCUACCUCUACCAAACUGAUUCAGGAAAAUAGAGCUCUCAAAAGGCAAAAGCUAGAUGAUGCAAAAUUAAGACAGGAGGGACGAUGAUUUCUUGACUCAGAUUGUUUCAAGGAUGAAGUAGUUUUAGAACGCAAAAACGGUCGCCGGCGUGUUUUUACAGUAAAACAACAUCAAACUUGAUUAAAAGGGAAAGUGUUAAAAACGUAGCUAGCAUUACCAAUCUGAUUCAGCAAAGGCGGCAAGAGAGCAAAACAAGUCAGAGGUCUGUGUCUGUGAUCGUGUUCCAACCAGGACCAUGACUCAGAUUUUUUCAAGUACAAAAACGGUCGCCGGCGUGUUAUUACAAUAUAGAUUGGAUAUAUGCUUUGGUUUGAAGAUUGAAGAAGAUUCUGAACCAAACAAAAGCAAACCUUCGCCCAACGGUAACAGCGUCAAACAUAGAGGCAAUAUAUAUAUGGUUCACUCUUUAUAUAUAUAUGAUGAGUAAUAACAUCUGGUGGAAGUAUUUGUUUUCGAGACGUUGUUUUCGUGGUAUUUCUUCAACUCUCAUCUGUUUGGCCAGAAACUCCACAACGACAAAAAGAUUCUGUGAAACAUCUUUCCACAUAAACAACUCAUCACCGGAGGAGAGAAGAAGCUCAGUCGUCGACGCAAAGACUCUAUUACUUUUUCCGAACAA